GACGAACGCUGGCGGCGCGCCUAACACAUGCAAGUCGAACGGAAUCAAGAGGAGCUUGCUUUUCUUGAUUUAGUGGCGAACGGGUGAGUAACGCGUGAGUAACCUGCCCUGGAGUGGGGGGACAACAGUUGGAAACGACUGCUAAUACCGCAUAAGCCCACGGUACCGCAUGGUACUGAGGGAAAAGGAUUUAUUCGCUUCAGGAUGGACUCGCGUCCAAUUAGCUAGUUGGUGAGGUAACGGCCCACCAAGGCGACGAUUGGUAGCCGGACUGAGAGGUUGAACGGCCACAUUGGGACUGAGACACGGCCCAGACUCCUACGGGAGGCAGCAGUGGGGGAUAUUGCACAAUGGGGGAAACCCUGAUGCAGCGACGCCGCGUGGAGGAAGAAGGUUUUCGGAUUGUAAACUCCUGUCGUUAGGGACGAUAAUGACGGUACCUAACAAGAAAGCACCGGCUAACUACGUGCCAGCAGCCGCGGUAAAACGUAGGGUGCAAGCGUUGUUCGGAAUUACUGGGUGUAAAGGGAGCGCAGGCGGACCGGCAAGUUGGAAGUGAAAUCCAUGGGCUCAACCCGUGAAUUGCUUUCAAAACUGCUGGCCUUGAGUAGUGCAGAGGUAGGUGGAAUUCCCGGUGUAGCGGUGGAAUGCGUAGAUAUCGGGAGGAACACCAGUGGCGAAGGCGACCUACUGGGCACCAACUGACGCUGAGGCUCGAAAGCAUGGGUAGCAAACAGGAUUAGAUACCCUGGUAGUCCAUGCCGUAAACGAUGAUUACUAGGUGUUGGAGGAUUGACCCCUUCAGUGCCGCAGUUAACACAAUAAGUAAUCCACCUGGGGAGUACGACCGCAAGGUUGAAACUCAAAGGAAUUGACGGGGGCCCGCACAAGCAGUGGAGUAUGUGGUUUAAUUCGAAGCAACGCGAAGAACCUUACCAGGUCUUGACAUCCGAUGCAUAGUGCAGAGAUGCAUGAAGUCCUUCGGGACAUCGAGACAGGUGGUGCAUGGUUGUCGUCAGCUCGUGUCGUGAGAUGUUGGGUUAAGUCCCGCAACGAGCGCAACCCUUAUUGCCAGUUACUACGUAAGAGGACUCUGGCGAGACUGCCGUUGACAAAACGGAGGAAGGUGGGGAUGACGUCAAAUCAUCAUGCCCUUUAUGACCUGGGCUACACACGUACUACAAUGGCGUUUAACAAAGAGAAGCAAGACCGCGAGGUGGAGCAAAACUCAGAAACAACGUCUCAGUUCAGAUUGCAGGCUGCAAACUCGCCUGCUUGAAGUUCGAAAUUGCUAGUGAAUCGCGGAUCAGCUUGCCGCGGUAAAUUACGUUUCCCGAGCCU
rnacentral:rRNA from 1 species